UACAGAGGCCUCGAGCGUUAGGCGGAAUCACUGGGCUUAAAGCGUGUGUAGGCGGAUUGGUAAGUACCUUGUGAAAUCCCACAGCUUAACUGUGGAACUGCUCGGUAUACUGCUGAUCUUGAGCCACUCAGGGGCUACCGGAACAAAUGGUGGAGCGGUGAAAUGCGUAGAUAUCAGGAGGAACACCGAUGGCGAAGGCAGGUCUCUGGGCAUUAACUGACGCUGAGGAGCGAAAGCAUGGGGAGCGAACAGG
rnacentral:rRNA from 1 species